CGCACAUUGCGCCCGCCAGUAUUCUGGCGGGCAUGCCUGUUCGAGCGUCAUUACAACCCUCAGGCCCCCGGGCCUGGCGUUGGGGAUCGGCGGAGCCCCCCGUGGGCACACGCCGUCCCCCAAAUACAGUGGCGGUCCCGCCGCAGCUUCCAUCGCGUAGUAGCUAACACCUCGCGACUGGAGAGCGGCGCGGCCACGCCGUAAAACACCCAACUCUUCUGAAGUUGACCUCGAAUCAGGUAGGAAUACCCGCUGAACUUAA
rnacentral:misc_RNA from 1 species